GUCCUUGUAGCUCAGCCCGGUUAGAGCGCACGGCUGUUAACCGUGAAGUCGGAGGUUCAAAUCCUCCCAAGGACG
rnacentral:tRNA from 2 species